AACGAACGCUGGCGGCAUGCCUAACACAUGCAAGUCGAACGAGACCUUCGGGUCUAGUGGCGCACGGGUGCGUAACGCGUGGGAACCUGCCCUUAGGUUCGGAAUAACUCCCCGAAAGGGGUGCUAAUACCGGAUAAUGUCUUCGGACCAAAGAUUUAUCGCCUUUGGAUGGGCCCGCGUUGGAUUAGCUAGUUGGUAGGGUAAAAGCCUACCAAGGCGACGAUCCAUAGCUGGUCUGAGAGGAUGAUCAGCCACACUGGGACUGGGACACGGCCCAGACUCCUACGGGAGGGAGCAGUGGGGAAUAUUGGACAAUGGGCGAAAGACUGAGCCAGCAAUGCCGCGUGAGUGAUGAAGGCCUUAGGGUUGUAAAGCUCUUUUACCCGGGAUGAUAAUGACAGUACCGGGAGAAUAAGCUCCGGCUAACUACGUG
rnacentral:rRNA from 1 species